UUGUGCGGGGUAACGGCCCACCAAGGCGACGAUCAGUAGCCGGCCUGAGAGGGCGGACGGCCACAUUGGGACUGAGACACGGCCCAGACUCCUACGGAAGGCAGCAG
rnacentral:rRNA from 1 species